rnacentral:rRNA from 1 species
CCCUCUCUAAUACAGGGGGCUCAUGACGGUACCGUAAGAAUAACCACCGGCUAACUACGUGCCAGCAGCCGCGGUAAUACGUAGGGUGCAAGCGUUAAUCGGAAUUACUGGGCGUAAAGCGUGCGCAAGCGGUUUUGUAAGACAGGCGUGAAAUCCCCGGGCUCAACCUGGGAAUGGCGCUUGUGACUGCAAAACUUGAGUGCGGAAGAGGGGGAUGGAAUUCCGCGUGUAGCAGUGAAAUGCGUAAAUAUGCGGAGGAACACCGAUGGCGAAGGCAAUCCCCUGGGCCUGCACUGACGCUCAUGCACAAAAGCGUGGGGAGCAAACAGGAUUAAAUACCCUGGUAGUCCACGCCCUAAACGAUGUCAACUGGUUGUUGGGUAUUUACUUACUCAUUAACGCAGCUAACGCGUGAAGUUGACCGCCUGGGGAGUACGAGCCGCAAGGUUGAAACUCACA